UUAAAACGUUUGAAAGUGUAUUAUGAAUUAAAAAUAUUGCCUACCUUUUCAGUAAACAAAGGCUGCUGCGGCCAUCAAGUCAUCGUCCACUGCUGCUGCACCCCAGGGCCAGCCAGAGGGACCUCAGGAUGAAAACAUGCAGGCAGCCGGGCCUCUGCAGCCACCCCCAAAGAAAUGCCUCUUAUUAAACACCUGAUUGCUCACACCCUAUCCACCUAACUUUGAGAGCUCACCUGCCUCACCGCUUCCUGAGAUAAGUAACUGAACCGACCCACUGUCAGGACUAAGAGGCUGGUUCAACAAGGUAGAAAGCAAUCUAUCAACUAAACUUAUGGACUGUGAAGACUUCUUAAGAGAAGUUCCGAAGGCAUCACUGCAGAGGAGCAAAAUUUAUCACCCCACGGUGUCUCUUUGGCUUGCAGAUUACUGUGAGCUGAAAACAACUGAAGCCCAAAAGACUCGGGAAGAAACUCUGACCAUCCUCCUAACUACCUAAAGAAUGUCUCAGUCGUGGCUGCAAACACCUGGUGCACCACGCUGCUCUUACGCAACGCCUUGGCCGCCAGGAAGCCAUCGUCCCUGCCCAGCCGUCCAGAGCGCCUGCGGCUGCAGGGCACCAAGGGCAUUCAGAAGCCACCAAGUUCAAGUUCAGCCAUUUUUCAGAGGGAACAACUCCGGGCUGGAAGGAGAGGGGAUAAAGGAGUUGCAGUUACUUCCUGUGGUCUGGCUGCCACCCAUCCAGGUACAGAGAAGCAGGGGUAAAUCAGUUGUGUGGACUAGCACCCCUGAACCCUUCACCGUCUCUUAGGAGGCCUGUUACAGACGGUGCGUUUUCUCUGGUCCUCUCAGUAGGAGCCGAUGGAUUGGCGUUGCUCUGGGGAGCCCUGGGGCAGAGGCCCCCCCCUGCUUCUGAGGUCACUGCGAGGACCCAAGGUCAGGAGUCCUGGGUCCUUAGCAAAUUUCUGCCUCUGUUCCCUAC